rnacentral:snRNA from 1 species
GGAUGGGAGGGCGAUCUGGCUGUGGCAUCUGACACCCCAAUGGUGGUCUGGGUUGAUUCAGCUGAUCUGGCUGGCUAAGCGGGUGUCCCUUUCCUCCCUCACCAUGCCAUGUGCAUCCCUCCCGAAGCUGUGUGCUCGGUCAGAGGACAACUUUCCCUGAAUAGAGGAGGGCUAGUCUCAGGUCAAGGGCAUACAAGUGGCUGUGUUCCCCUGCUAGAAGCUCCAAACAAGCUCUCAAGAACAGAUGUUUAGGGCUGGAGAGAUGGCUUAACAGUUAAAGCACUUGCCUGGCAAGCCAAAAGACCCAG